CUUCAAUCUGCUGGAAACAAAGUUAGAAAAAGAACGAGAGGGCACGGGCUGAGAGAAACCGAGAGGAAGAAAGAAAAGGGAAGAAAAAAGCCUUGUGAGAUACCAAAAUUCAAACUUAAAAUUGUGAAAAAUUCAUCUUUAGGUUAGACGCCACAUUGUGAUCAUGUGCUUCAAGGAGCUAACUGUGAUCAAGUGCAAGGGCGAACUUAGUGGCGUUGACCUAAACUCUGUUUUGUCAAGCCAACUUCUGUGCCUCACUUUGAGGUUCCUACUGAGACAAGCUUCAAGGUUUCAUGGGUGAUUUAGAGUUCACCCUUUUGUUUUGAACGUCACUGAGACUAGUUCUGAAUGUUUUCAUAUCUGAAGUUAAGAUUGAUUUUGUUAAUGGGAUUUAAUCCCUAAUUAUGUUGUAUUUUUGUACAUAAGCUUGAUGCUUAGACUGAUGUGUAUAUACAUAUAUGAAAGUUGUUUUGUUA